CGAACCUCUGGUGCACCAGUUGUCUCAUCAGAGGCAUCGCUGGGUAGCUAUGUUUGGUCAGGAUAAACGCUGAAAGCAUAUAAGCGUGAAACCUAUCCCAAGAUUAGAUCUCCCUCCCGAUUUAUCGGGAUAAGGCUCGUUGAAGACUACGACGUUGAUAGGCCACAGGUGUAAGUACAGUAAUGUAUUCAGCCGAGUGGUACUAAUAAGCCGAACGGCUUUAUCAAUUAUU
rnacentral:rRNA from 1 species